rnacentral:lncRNA from 1 species
AAAAGAAUGGGGAAGUAUUGGUUCCAGACCUGCUGCAGAGAGAAGCUCAAAGGGACUCGGCACUGGCAGAACAAAGAAACCUAGGAGGGAAGCUUUGCUCCAAAAGAGAGGUUUUGCUUCAGGAGAAGACUGUUCCAAGGAAAGGGAGACUGGCUGUUUCAAACUCAAAAAAGCUGAUCUUAUGGCUCUUAGCAAAAUACAUGAAGGCCAUCGUCAGAUGUGGGCUGAUUGAUCUUGGACUUCCAAGUCUCCAGAACUAGAACUACUCCACCAUCAUCUGAUGUGGUUCUGAUGGCUGUGCAUUUCUCAGCUUUAUCCUCAGCCUGUGGGUAAUUUAAAAUAAAUACUUUUGCAAGUGAACCAAUAGAAAUAUUUCAUUGUCAUUGAACAGAAAGCUAAAAACCUAAUUACGUUGGAACUAGGAAGAGGAAGUAAAGUAUGGUUGGAAGAGGUGGGAGUCUGGUGCUGCCAGAGCAGAAAGCACAAAGAAAAACGUGCUUUUAUGUGGGUGCCCUAAGAGACAUGAUAAGU